rnacentral:lncRNA from 10 species
AGGCGGUGAUCAGGCCAUUGCACUCACCACUGCACUCCAGCCUGGGUGGAAGAGCCAGACCCUGUCUCAAAAAAAGAAACAAAGAACAACCAAGCCCUGGGACACAAGAAUCUGAAGGCCAGGAAAAGGAAGAGGGGCCAGCAAAUACACGCAAGAGAAGCAAGAGAAGCAGUCAGCUGCCCACUGUCUGGGAAGUGAGGAGCGCCUCUGACUGGCCGCCAACCAUCUGGGAAGUGAGGAGCGCCUCUGCCCGGCCACCCUGUCUGGCAAGUGAGGAGCGCCUAUGCCUGGUCACCCCGUCUGGCAAGUGAGGAGUGCCUAUGCCUGACCACCCCGUCUGGGAAAUGAGGAGCGCCUCUGCCCAGCCACCACCCCGUCUAGCAAGUGAGGAGCACCUAUGCCCGGCCAUUCCAUCUGGCAAGUAAGGAGCACCUCUGCCUGGCCACCCCGUCUGGGAAGUGAGGAGUGCCUCUGCCCAGCUGCCCACCAUCUGGGAAGUGAGGAGCACCUCUGCCUGGCUGCCCACCGUCUGGGAAGUGAGGAGCACCUCUGCCUGGCCGGCCACUGUCUGGGAAAUGAGAAGCCCCUCUGCCCAGCCACCCCACCAUCUGGCAAGUGAGGCGCGCCUCUGCCCGGCCGCCGCCCCGUCUGGGAAGUGAGGAGCGCCUCUGCCCGGCCAGCCUUGUGUGUGAUCUUUUCUGUCUUCCCCAAGUUUGCAUUUUUGACAUUAAGUUUACUUUUUAAUUAAAAGUUUUAAAUUGGAGAAUAUAAAAAACAAACAAACAACAAAAAAAGUUUUUCAUAGCCCGGGCAACAUGGUGAAACCCCAUCUCUACAAAGAAUACAAAAAAAAGAAAUAGUUGGGCAUGGUGGUACACACCUGUAAUCCCAGCUACUCGGGGCUGAGGUUGGAGGAUCACCUAAGUCCAGUAGGUGGAGGCUGCAGUGAGCUGUGUUUGCACCACUGCAUUCUACCCUGGGUGACAGAGUGAGACCCUGUCUCAAAAAAAAGAAGUUUUGCAUGGUUACCUUUUUCAACUUCAAAAUAAUAUUAGUGUGGAAAUGAGAGAUUUCAUGGUGAGUGUCUGUGUGCAAGCAGGAGGUAGUGGCCAGUGUGCCCAGGUUCUGAUGUUGUGGGGACACUGUCCUUGUGGAAACCUUCUCCAGGGUUGCUCUGUGCAAUUUUCUGAAGCUUGGGCUGGGAACAAAGGAGGAAAGUCACUGUCCCUUUCCCUUCGUUGUUCGUGGGGGAAGGCAGAUUAGGGAGUAAACCACUGACCACGUUGCUUAAUAAACCAGUACAGUCAUAGUAUAGGGCCUGAUGGUGGCCGAUGCUCAGUGAGUGGAGUGGUUAUUUUUGAGUGCCUUCCACAGGGGCACAAGCUAUUGGUGCAAGACAGGCUGGCGCCAGGCACCUGAUGCUGGCUCCACACAAUGCCAUCUUCCUGGUGUGCUAAGACCAUGUGGGAAAACGAAGUUCAGAAGUGGUGAUGAGUAAUAUCCUCACUGCACACUUUGGGGAUUGCCAAGAACUCUCAUAUUGAGCGUGGAAGUUAAGAACACAGACUCCAGAAUCAGAUUUUCUGAGCUUGAGUCCUGACUCGGCCGCUUCCUCGCUGUGUGGUGUUGGGAAAGUUACUGAACUCCCGAAGCUCCAUUAGGUCAUUUGUACAAGGGUAAAAAUAGUGUCUAUUUCAAGGGAUGGGAUGAGAUAACACUUGGAAAGUUCCUAGAAGUGUCGACUAGCACAGAAUAAGGAAAUCAUUAACGCUAGCCAUUGUUGUUAUUAUAUUCAUUAUUUCUUUGGAUCCUUACUCUGUACAGCCAGAUAGGCAGGGUAGGUGGUGUUGCUCUCGUGUUGUCGGUGGCCAUGGCCAUAUGACUUGCUCAAGGUCACGGAGCUAAAAAAGAGGAUCACAGUCUCCUGAGCCCCAUUUUAGUGCCUCACAUAUUUUGGUGUUUAAUAUCUCUAAAGACAGGAAAUAGUUGGUGCGUAACCCCACAAAGGUAAAAUUAAACCCAAAGGGUGAGGGUUGCAUUUCCUCCUCUACCACGAAUGCCUGACCACACCAUUCCUGGGCUGUGAAUCCUGUGGAGAGGUCUGGUUUCUCCCAGGCUACAUACACUUUCUGCUCAUCAAUUUGUCUUUUUCCACCAGACUCAGUUAUGAAACUAGUUCCCUAAGUUAUUCCAUGAAAAUAAAUGGUAUUGUGGUCAAAUCAGUUUGGGAGAUAGAGCUACAAGAUUUCUGUUUAGAAAUUCACGAUGCAUAUUGGUAUAUCAGAGGUUAAAAAGUCAUGUAGAACUUUGUUGAACCCAGGGCCUCUCUUAGUUAUUUGUCCACAAGACAAAGUCCACAUUACAUCUGUUAUUAUUCCACCAAACUAGUGCUGAGAGGAGGACACUCUGGGAAACACGGUGAAGCUGAUUUAUCUCCUGUGCUAGAACCUAGAUGUGCAGAUUCCCUCAUCUGUCUGCUCAUUCUGUAGAUAGUCAUGGAAUCCCCACCUUGCGCCAGGCUUUGUGCUGGGCACGGGGAAUUCUGUGGUGAGCCCUGCAGUCACAUGGUCUAGCACUAGGGCAGCUGCACCCUCAUGGGCUCUGCAGGCAUUCAUCA